rnacentral:rRNA from 1 species
CCGCCCGUCACACCAUGGGAAGUGGGCUGCAAAAGAAAGUAGGUAGUUUAACCUUCGGGGGGACGCUUACCACUUUGUGGUUCAUGACUGGGGUGAAGUCGUAACAAGGUAGCGCUAGGGGAACCUGGCGCUGGAUCACCUCCUUA